rnacentral:rRNA from 1 species
AGUGAACGCUGGCGGCAGGCCUAACACAUGCAAGUCGAACGGCCGCACAGUAAGAGCUUGCUCUUACGGGUGGCGAGUGGCGGACGGGUGAGGCAUACAUCGGAAUCUACUUUUUCGUGGGGGAUAACGUAGGGAAACUUACGCUAAUACCGCAUACGACAUACGGGUGAAAGCAGGGGAUCUUCGGACCUUGCGCGACUGAAUGAGCCGAUGUCGGAUUAGCUAGUUGGCGGGGUAAAGGCCCACCAAGGCGACGAUCCGUAGCUGGUCUGAGAGGAUGAUCGGCCACACUGGAACUGAGACACGGUCCAGACUCCUACGGGAGGCAGCAGUGGGGAAUAUUGGGCAAUGGGCGCAAGCCUGAUCCAGCCAUACCGCGUGAGUGAAGAAGGCCUUCGGGUUGUAAAGCCCUUUUGUUGGGAAAGAAAAGCAGCAGGUUAAUACCCCGCUGUUCUGACGGUACCCAAAGAAUAAGCACCGGCUAACUACGUG